GGGGAUGCCGGGUUUCGACAUCCUUCGGUGCUUCCGAAAAGAAGCGGGCCCAGAAAUGCACGGCCAUCUGGCUAAACAGUUCGUGCACCCAAGAGAUGCCAACGCAACUCGCUCCGACUACGCUCUCGCCGUUUAGUUACGCCGGGACCUAAGCGUGGUCUGUCUCAUCCUGCAUCAGGCAACCGGAACUCGGCCGCAGGAUAGGCAUCAGCCAAAGGAGUCCUGAACGGCCGCUGUGCUGCGAGCAGCCGUUCGUAUCAGCAGCUAGACCGGGUCACGCCGUCGUCCGCCGUGACGGAACCGGGUCGAUAAACAUCAAGGCGGACUACGCCCGUAGAAGAGUUUGGAACCGGAGGGUGGACGGGGGUUCAACUCCCCCCAUCUCCACAC
rnacentral:tmRNA from 1 species